GGAGCCGGGAGGGGGGGUCAGGGGGCUGUUUUUAGGGCUGUGGGGGCUGUUCUGGCCCUUGGGGACAGGCAGGGCAGGGGUCAUCAGACAGGAAUUUGGGGAGCAGGAUGGAGGGGUGCUGCACUGUCAGCAUCAACAGGAAGCGGAGUUGCUUGUUCCCCACACUCCUGCAGCUCUCCACUGAGGAGGUGGUGGCCAUCUGGGAUGUCGUGUCUGUGUACAUCCUGGGACAGAUGAAGCGGAACAAGGGUGUCCUGGUCCCAGGACUAGGGACCUUUGCUGUGGUCCCUGAGCAAGUUGAUGGUGCAGAAGAGGUGUAUGUAGUCCGAAGACCUGUGUUCCAGUUGGACAUGGAUGUGUCCUGUCUGCGGGAGCUGAUGUUCCCCACAGUGAUGAUCCCUGGUGACAUUGAGAUCGCACCACUGGACUACUGGUGGCUGUCACAGACCACGUCCCUCCCGCCAGACGUAUUGAGGGACUGUGUGGAGGAGACCGUCCUCCUAUACUCCUUUCAGCUGAGGGACAGGCAGCACCUCGCCUUUGCCUUUGGGGACAUUGGCGUCCUGUCAUGCCAGGACAAUGUCCUUUGCAUGCGGUUCCACCGCAGCUGCGUCAAGAAGCUGGAGAACUGGGACACCUGGGUGGCUCUGCUGCUCACUAGGCUGUGUGUGCCGGGUGCUGGUCUCAAUGAUGGAGCAACCGCUGCUGGGGGGAUGCAGGCUGCAUGGGCUCACUCAUUCCCCCGGUUUCAGCUUGCUGUGUCUGAGGCUUUUUCCACCUGGCACACGAAGGUUGCAGAGAAGCACAGGGUCAGAACAGGGGCACAGGAACAUCCUGACAAGUUUUCCCUCCCCAUGCUACCAAACCAGAGGCCAGGCAUGAGGCAGCAAGAGCCAGGGAUGAAGCCACCUGCCAGUGUGCUCCCCCUGUCCCCAGGCAUCUUUCCUGGGAUGGGGGAGACAGGUGGGCAGGAGUCAGCUCCUUUGGUCAGGCUCGACACCACACUCCUGGCCUCUGAGAACUGCCAGAGAGCGCUGCAGGAGGUCUGUCAGCUGUCUGCAGAGUGGGAGCACGGGAAUUCCUGCUGGAGAGAGCAGAAGGUGGAAUGGGUGGCGUGGGAAGCCUGGGCUGCCAGGGAGGAUCAGCAGGUGCCCCAGGUAUCUGGCCCUGGAGGUCCUUGGGCUCCCCAUCCUUCACUCCAGCCCCAGAGAAAGGGGGUCACUGUGACAUGGGGGAGGGCUGGAACCUCCCUCCCCGUGGACGAGAUGGUGGAGAGAUUCCAGCCUGGGACCAGGCACCUUUCCCCACGAGCCAUCCAGGUGCUCCAUGCGCUGGAGCCACAUCAGACACGGAGGAACAUCUUCACGUUUUUGGCUGAGAACAACCGACGGCGGCAGGAGCAACAGAAGCAGCUCUGCAGGACAGAAAAGUCCUGGUUGGAGGCAGAGGGACUCUGAUGGCUGGCUGCCUGCUUCCCAAACCCUGAGAGCCCUUUCUUGGUAGAGUUCUACCCCAUGACACCUUGUCCUGACCAGGGACACCUGUACAGGACACCUGUAGGGGACACCCAAGGUCUCAGCCCAACCUGGCUUUGCCCCAGCUGCACCAUAGGACCUUCUCAUAGGCUGGGAAAUCACCAGGGGCAUCUCCCACUCCAUGGACACCUUGAGGUGCUGGUCCAGCGGCCAAGGGGCAAGGGCUGGAGUGGUGGCUGCAGCCGUGGCUGGUAGUGACAGGUCCGGGAGGCUGCUCACCUGCUGAGGUCCACCC